rnacentral:lncRNA from 1 species
AAGAGAGAUGAUGAUGUCUACUCAACUGGUUGUCCUGAAAUAUGAGGUUCUCAGAGGAAUUGAAAUAAUGAGGCCGGGGAGCUUAUAACAAACCUAUGAUCUCAGAACUACUUCCAUCCAGUGCUGGAAGAGUGUGUAGUAUCUCUGCAUGCGGAGCUAUAGGGGACUGUUUUGACAGCUUGCCAAGCCAUGGAUCGUGCUUAGAAAAAUACAUAAAGAAUAAAAUGCAUUAGAGAGAACAGGAAAUCACCCAUAAAUGGCAUUAUCUACCAACAAGUCAUUAACCACCUCACCUCUCCUGGAGGGAACCAGAUAAGAUACCUCAUAAAGAAGAUAGGAUUACAAGCAAGGGCAAAUUAAGUUGAAUUUAGCUACUCUGAAUAUAAAAUACAGCAUUCUAAAUUACAAAGAUAUGACUGUUGUUAAGAUAGGUUAUUGUCACUCUUGCCACUCUGUAAUGCAGAUGUUAGCUGCUCCUAUGUAUCCCUACUUGCCACCUCUGUUUUGCCCAACCUUGACUCGAACACAGAAAAGCCUCUCCAAAUUUCCUCAAAAGAAUGCACUAAAAUGCCCUAAAGAAAGAAUGAGAAAUGUCAGUUUCACUGAUGAUUACUCUGUUGGUUAGUUUUAGGGCAGAAGCUGAGAAAAGGGAGUUAACAGAGCACAGACAAUGACCAACUUGAUCAUUAAGGGAGCACAUCUCUUUCCUUAAGUCUUCUAACUGCCAAGCUGCCGUGGAGCUUCCUACUUUCGAUCCUCUCUUCCCUUUGCAUCCACCUUGUUAAUGCCUUCCCUUUCCCUCUGUGACCCAUACAAGUUUCCUUUCUUGUAUUAUACCUUGUGGUUAAGGGACUGUCUUUUACUACCUGGACAUGACCAUUGGGUCUCACUCUCCAUCCCAAGACUUAUUGAAUUUUUUUCUAAAAAAAAGUGCUCUCCCCAAGAGAAAUUCUGGCAAAUAAACUUUUAUUUAUCUUAUUAAUCUCUUUUGGAGAUGGAGUAUAUGCAUUGAUUUGUUGUAGCUAAGCUAAAAGAGAAAUUUACGGUUUCUAAAAGAGAGUUUGGUUUCUGAUUUGAACAUCCCCACUAGUCCCCCUCCUUCUGCUUCCCCAUCAGUGAAAUUUCAGAAUGGGAUGGAAAAAUAACCACUAAGCAAAGCCUGCUCAAGCUUCUUUUCACCAGGGAAGCUGGUGUCUGCUUGAGGAUCUCUCCUCUUGAAUAGACCAAGAACUCUGGGAAAUCUAAGGCUAAGAUGUCAGUCCGAUUUCUGUACUCAGUUGUGGAGGGCCAGAAAAUCAGUGGGCUAUGGCCAUAGCUUCUCCCGGAUACAAAGGUAGUACUGGUCCCC